GAAGACACCACCGGGCGUCACACCUGUUCAGUGUGGCAAGAACUCCUGCCCGAAGGAUUGGUCCCGUGUUGGAAAACGAUGUUUCAUCUUCAUUGACAGCCCGAAGACUUGGUCUGAAGCCGAGGAUUACUGCCUGUUUGAAGGAGCCAACCUGGCGUCAGUCCACAGUAAUGAGGAGAAUAAUUUCAUUCGGAUUUUGACCAGAGGAGACACCCACAAAUUCCCCCUAACAUGGAUCGGUGGCAGCGAUUGCAUUCAGUCCGGUUUUUGGAUGUGGAGUGACGGCACCAUGUUU